GGAGGCUUACACAUGCAAGUCGAGGGGUAAGGUUCUCUUCGGAGAAUACACGACCGGCGCACGGGUGAGUAACGCGUAUGCAACCUACCUAUAACACAAGGAUAGCUCCCGGAAACGGGAAUUAAUACUUGAUGACAUUCAAAGAUGGCAUCAUCAAUGAAUCAAAGUUCCGGCGGUUAUAGAUGGGCAUGCGUGACAUUAGCUAGUUGGUGAGGUAGAGGCUCACCAAGGCGACGAUGUCUAGGGGGUCUGAGAGGAUGAUCCCCCACACUGGUACUGAGACACGGACCAGACUCCUACGGGAGGCAGCAGUGAGGAAUAUUGCGCAAUGGAGGAAACUCUGACGCAGCCAUCCCGCGUGCAGGAUUGACGGCCCUAUGGGUUGUAAACUGCUUUUCUAUACCAAGAAACACCGAUACGUGUAUCGGUUUGCCGGUAGUAUAGGAAUAAGCAUCGGCUAACUCCGUGCCAGCAGCCGCGGUAAUACGGAGGAUGCAAGCGUUAUCCGGAAUCACUGGGUUUAAAGGGUGCGCAGGCGGAAUAGUAAGUCAGAGGUGAAAGCCCACAGCUCAACUGUGGAAUUGCCUUUGAUACUGUUAUUCUUGAGUGUAGUUGAAGUAGGCGGAAUAUAGCAUGUAGCGGUGAAAUGCAUAGAUAUGCUAUAGAACACCAAUUGCGAAGGCAGCUUGCUAAACUAUAACUGACGCUGAGGCACCAAAGCGUGGGGAGCGAACAGGAUUAGAUACCCUGGUAGUCCAAGCCGUGAACUAUGAACACUCGGCUGUUGGCAAUACACCAGUAAGCGGGUUGAGCGAAAGGCGUUAAGUGUUCCACCUGGGAAGU
rnacentral:rRNA from 1 species